rnacentral:rRNA from 1 species
CAGUAGCCGCGGUAACACGUAGGGUGCGAGCGUUAAUCGGAAUUACUGGGCGUAAAGCGUGCGCAGGCGGUUUGGUAAGACAGGCGUGAAAUCCCCGGGCUCAACCUGGGAAUGGCGCUUGUGACUGCAAAGCUAGAGUGCGGCAGAGGGGGAUGGAAUUCCGCGUGUAGCAGUGAAAUGCGUAGAGAUCGGGAGGAACAUCAGUGGCGAAGGCGGCCAUCUGGGACAACACUGACGCUGAGGCACGAAAGCGUGGGGAGCAAACAGGAUUAGAUACCCCCGUAGUCCCUGUCUCUUAUAC